GUGUUUGCUUUGUUAGCACAUAUACUAGAACUGGAAUGAUACAGAGAAGAUUAGCUAUGGUGCCUGCCUGCACAAGGAUGACAUACAAAUUCGAGACAUUCCAUAUUUUA